GACGAACGCUGGCGGCGUGCUUAACACAUGCAAGUCGAACGGUGACGGAAAGCUUGCUCUCCUGAUCAGUGGCGAACGGGUGAGUAACACGUGGGCAACCUGCCCCAGACUUCGGGAUAACGCCUCGAAAGAGGUGCUAAUACCGAAUACGAACGCCGUGGGCAUCCACGGUGUUGGAAAGUUUUUCGGUCUGGGAUGGGCCCGCGGCCUAUCAGCUUGUUGGUGAGGUAAUGGCUCACCAAGGCGACGACGGGUAGCCGGCCUGAGAGGGCGACCGGCCACACUGGGACUGAGACACGGCCCAGACUCCUACGGGAGGCAGCAGUGGGGAAUAUUGCGCAAUGGGCGAAAGCCUGACGCAGCAACGCCGCGUGGGGGAUGAAGGCCUUCGGGUUGUAAACCUCUUUCAGCAGGGAAGAAGCGAAAGUGACGGUACCUGCAGAAGAAGCACCGGCUAACUACGUGCCAGCAGCCGCCGUAA
rnacentral:rRNA from 1 species